UGGGCGAGGUCCUUGGCAUGACGGAGGAGUGUCAUCCAGUCGUGUAGACCAAAGCCUUUUUUGACUCGGCCCUCGGGGGAGCGACGGCGGGGGUUGGCGUUUUUGGAGGGGAUGGGG
rnacentral:SRP_RNA from 12 species